rnacentral:rRNA from 2 species
AGUCGAACGCAUCCCGUUAAAUGAAGUGCUUGCACGGAUUUUAACAUUGGAUGAGUGGCGAACUGGUGAGUAACACGUGGGUAACCUGCCCAGAAGCAGGGGAUAACACUUGGAAACAGGUGCUAAUACCGUAUAACAACAAAAACCGCAUGGUUUUUGUUUGAAAGGUGGUUUCGGCUAUCACUUCUGGAUGGACCCGCGGCGUAUUAGCUAGUUGGUGGAGUAAUGGUUCACCAAGGCAAUGAUACGUAGCCGACCUGAGAGGGUAAUCGGCCACAUUGGGACUGAGACACGGCCCAAACUCCUACGGGAGGCAGCAGUAGGGAAUCUUCCACAAUGGACGAAAGUCUGAUGGAGCAACGCCGCGUGAGUGAAGAAGGUUUUCGGAUCGUAAAACUCUGUUGUUGAAGAAGAACACGUUUGAGAGUAACUGUUCAGACGUUGACGGUAUUCAACCAGAAAGCCACGGCUAACUACGUGCCAGCAGCCGCGGUAAUACGUAGGUGGCAAGCGUUAUCCGGAUUUAUUGGGCGUAAAGCGAGCGCAGGCGGUUACUUAAGUCUGAUGUGAAAGCCUUCGGCUUAACCGGAGAAGUGCAUCGGAAACUGGGUAACUUGAGUGCAGAAGAGGACAGUGGAACUCCAUGUGUAGCGGUGAAAUGCGUAGAUAUAUGGAAGAACACCAGUGGC